rnacentral:lncRNA from 1 species
AGAUCAACCACCUUUCAAGUUCAUUGGGAUUCAAGAAAAGUUCCCUUCUAUUAUUUCAGCCUUGAGUGCUACCCAACUAUUACUGAAGGGAUAUCAGGGAUACUUGGCCUUUAUUUCUGGAAAAGAAUCUAAGAAGCCAGUAUUAAAGGACAUCCCCAUUGUACGGGAUUUUCCAGAUGUUUUUCCUGAAGAUCUACUU